ACUUAUCAGGCUUCAUGAUUCACAAAAAUAUGAACUGGAAGAUGACAUGCCUUAAUAGUGCCUGGAUAUUAGCUCAGACCUUGUUUCAAAAGUAAAACUGUCAUCAUUGGCUUGAUGUUUGUCUGGUUCAAAAAGGGUAACUGAGAUAAAUUUUUUUGCUUUAAGGAUGUAAAUAACCAAGUUGAAAUCAUUUUGAGGAGAUUGACUCGGUGGUUAUACAAGAUACAAAUUUCAGUGAACAUUAGAGAUAUCAUCCGUUCUAAUUUAAGUCAUAAAUGGCAUUAACCAAUUGUUUCUUUGUCUCUCCUUCAGGCACAUGCCCAUGCACAAUCUCAUCUAUUUUAUGUGCAAUAUGUUUAUUGGUAAGACAUUGAUGUAGGGAUAAAUGAUUCUUGCUCUCCUUUUCAGCAAUGAGGCACUUAUCAUCAUCUGGCCACUUCUUGCCAACAACCUUCUGCACAGCUAAGUAUUUGAGCCGGUGUAAUUAGUUUCCUCUCGCAGAUCAAUAAAAAUUUUCAGUUUCAGUGGUCUGUGUAUUUUCAGAGACUUUGUGUCAUUAGGAAUUGAGAAAGCACAUAGCAAACAGUGUUGUUUAAGUUCUUCCUCCGUUCGUGUUUCCACCAACUUCUGUAAUAUAACAAAAGAUUGUUGGUAUAGUGUUGCCCUGCAAAUUGUAGAUACUGAUACAGACUGCAGCUAGAGUAGUCGCAUUCAUAAUAGCUGUGUGCACUAAAACUUUAAAUAAUUGUGUAAAUGUUUGGUCACAGGAAAUUGAUGAUUCAUUGUGAUUGUUAGGCAUGUCAUGAGGUAACUGCUAGAUAGAACACACAAAAACUAUCAGAAGGUAGCAGUUUCAGCAUCGCAGGCCCGUCGUAGGUAGCAACUAUGGUUCAACUCAGAACGAGUGAUGGGUGAAUCACAAGGCUGCUACAUUCACCAGUAGAUGGCCGCACACGCCAUGCUUUAUCAAUGAAGCGACGAUAGGGAUUGAAUUCGCCACUAGGCGGAGAAGCACCUCGAAGUGGAGAAUGAACACCGGAAAAAGGUGUCGACUUUGCGUUGGUUGCAUGCCAUCGCCUCACGGUCACGACCCUCUUCCUUUCCCCUCUGCUAAAACAAGGAGGAUGAAUUGGGGGCUUUGAGGAUGAUGAGAUUGAUUGUCUCACGUUGGAUCCACUCACACUCUUCUGCUUCUCGCUCACUGUUUCUUGUGUUGGAGGCUUUGGGUUCCAUUCUCACAUGUACAAGAUCAAUGGGACUGUAAACAUCAAUGUCAUAAGAGCAGCUGCUGAAAAAGGC